CGGAAAGUUUCCGCUCAUUCUCCCGUUAGUCCGCACACGUGUGCGGUGGCUGCCCUGCCCGCUGCCUCUGACGAUCAUUUUUUGAUCUCCAUCCUCCCUACGUUGCUUAAACAUAUUUGCGAGAAUACUGUUCUCUGAUUGCAAUGGAUUUUUUGCACAUAUUGCAACUUCCUGAGGAAUGAACAUAAAGAAAUGCGUACGAACGAAAAUUCGAGAGAUCCUCAGAUCUAAUGCACUCACAAUAGUGCAUAGAAAAGAAUUGUCCAAAACAGGGAUGGAAAAACAGAUCACUGGUAAGUGUUUU